CUGUCGUUAAUCCUGAGGGCCCGGAGCGAGCGCCGCAAGGCGCAUAAAGCUGGUGACGCCACGCUGCCGAGAAAAGCCUCUAAGGAGUGGAGUGGGUACCCGUACCGCAAACCGACACAGGUAGGCGAGGAGAAAAUCCUAAGGCCCAAGUGUGAUCCCCCGUUUAGGAACUCGGCAAAUUGGCCCCGUAACUUCGGAAGAAGGGGUGCUCUUGCUUGUCAUCCGGCUUGCCCGGAGAAGCGAACGAGAGUUGCAAUAAAGAGGCUCAGGCGACUGUUUACUAAAAACACAGGGCUCUGCGAAGUCGAAUACGACGUAUAGGGUCUGACGCCUGCCCGGUGCCGGAAGGUUAAAGAGAGGGGUUAGCCGCAAGGCGAAGCUCUGAACUGAAGCCCCGGUAAACGGCGGCCGUAACUAUAACGGUCCUAAGGUAGCGAAAUUCCUUGUCGGGUAAGUUCCGACCUGCACGAAUGGCGUAACGAUCUGAGCGCUGUCUCAACGGGGAGCACUGCGAAUUUGUGGUACCGGUGAAGACGCCGGAUGCCCGUCACAAGACGAAAAGACCCCGUGCACCUUUACUACAUCCUAGUAGUGAAUGCUGGCGCAGUAUGCGCAGGAUAGGUGGGAGGCUUUGAACCCAGGCUUUCGGGCUUGGGGGAGCCAACGGUGAGAUACCACCCUUACUGCUCCGGCGUUCUAACCUCGUUCUGUUAUCCAGAUCAGGGACACUGCUAGGUGGGUAGUUUGACUGGGGCGGUCGCCUCCUAAACUGUAACGGAGGCGCUCGAAGGUUCGCUCAGGCUGUUUGGAAAUCAGCCAUAGAGUGCAAAGGCAUAAGCGAGCUUGACUGCGAGACCUACAAGUCGAGCAGGUGGGAAACCAGGACUUAGUGAUCCGGUGGUUCCGCAUGGAAGGGCCAUCGCUCAACGGAUAAAAGGUACGCCGGAUAACAGCUGAUCUGAGCCAAGAGUUCACAUCGACGCUCAGGUUUGGCACCUCGAUGUCGGCUCAUCGCAUCCUGGAGCUGUAGCAGGUUCCAAGGGUCCGGCUGUUCGCCGGUUAAAGCGGUACGUGAGCUGGGUUUAGAACGUCGCGAGACAGUUCGGUCUCUAUCUGUGAUGGGCGCAGGAGAUUUGAGUGGGGCUGACCUUAGUACGAGAGGACCGGGUUGGACGAACCUCUAGUGUAUCGGUUGUCACGCCAGUGGCAGUGCCGAGUAGCUACGUUCGGAAGGGAGAAACGCUGAAGGCAUCUAAGCGUGAAACCCUCCACGAGAUGAGAUCUCCCA
rnacentral:rRNA from 1 species